rnacentral:rRNA from 1 species
GAUGAACGCUGGCGGCGUGCCUAAUACAUGCAAGUCGAGCGAACAGACGAGGAGCUUGUUCCUCUGACGUUAGCGGCGGACGGGUGUGUAACACGUGGAUAACCUACCUAUAAGACUGGGAUAACUUCGGGAAACCGGAGCUUAUACCGGAGAAUAUAUUGAACCGCAUGGUUCAAUAGUGAGAGACGGUUUUGCUGUCACUUAUAGAUGGAUCUGCGCCGCAUUAGCUAGUUGGUAAGGUAACGGCUUACCAAGGCUACGAUGCGUAGCCGACCUAAGAGGGUGAUCGGCCACACGAGAACUGGGACACGGUCCAGACUCCUACGGGAGGCAGCAGUAGGGAAUCUUCCGCAAUGGGCGAAAGCCUGACGGAGCAACGCCGCGUGAGUUAUGAAGGUCUUCGGAUCGUAAAACUCUGUUAUUAGGGAAGAACAAAUGUGUAAGUAACUAUGCACGUCGUGACGGUACCUAAUCAGAAAGCCACGGCUAACUACGUG